CAUAAGGCUAUAGUGGAAUCAGACCAUAAAUAAAUUUCAUUGAUGGUCAGAGGAAGGUUAUCAUAUACAGUUUUCACUAAUCUUGCCAAGAGUAGAGUAGAACAUAAUUCUAACUUUGGAAGUGAAACUACCUUCAUGGGUGCGACUCUUGUUUUUGCCACUAAGAGAAAUGUCUUAGCGCUUGUGUUUGAGAGGAUCACCUUUAGAUACAGAGAUGCAGCAUAUGCCUUCUGUGAUGCAUCACAAAACCCAUGCAAUUCUACCUUCAUAAAUUUACCUGGUACCACGCAUCUUGGGAUCUGAAUGUGCUCUAACGAUGAAAGAUCCUGGUUUAUCAAAGUCAGCUUCCUUCUUAGUUCCUCUGGAAUUGGGUCAUCCCAUUCCAAACCAGUCUUCCAAAGUUCUUGCAAAAUUAGUUUAAUAGUGGUCGUAAAUGGUGAGAUCCAACCAAGUGGAUCAAAUAUUUUGGCAACCUGUGAUAGUAUUCCUCGUUUUGUCAUAGAGUUCAGUGGCAGAGCUAUUCCCUUAAAUGUGAAACCAUCAGUUCUUGGUUGCCAUUGAAGGCCUAAAACGUUGACAAAUUCCUUGGAAUCCUCAAACCCAAUAUUUGUAUUGGUGGAUCUUAAAUGAUUUGGUAAAAGUGACAGAACAUCAGGAACAUUGGAGGUCCACUUACGAAGUUCGAAGCCUCCUGCUCUUAGUAAACCAUAGAGUUCUUCAACCAAAUUCUUGCCUUCAUCUACUGAAAAAGUUCCAGUUACUAGAUCAUCAACAUAAAAAUCUGUCAAUGCUAUUUUGCUAGCCUUUGGAAACCUACUCUGCUCAUCCAAAGCCAACUGUUUGAUGAUACGAGUGGCCAAAAAUGGUGCACAACUAGUCCCGUAAGUGACAGUUUCCAGCCGAUAGUCCCUUAUUUUAUCAUUAGGAUCAUUCCGCCAUACAAUUCUUUGGAAUUCUGAGUCGUCUUGUGAUAUUCUAAUUUGCCUAUACAUCUUGGCGAUAUCAGCAUUUAUAGCAACAGGAUGAAUUCUGAAUCUCAGAAUGAUGUGAAACAAAUCCUGUUGAACCUUGGGCCCUGGAAUUAAAGCAUCAUUCAAGGACAAACCUGAAUCAGUCCUUGCUGAUGCGUCGAAAACUACUCGUAAUUUGGUGGUGCAACUUUUUUCCUUUAUUACAGGAUGAUGAGGCAGAUAGUACCUUCCCUUAAUGAUAUCUUCCUUUGGUACUAAGCUCAUAUGUCCCAAUUCAAGAUAUUCCCCAAUGAAGCUUCUAUAUUGGUCAUAAACUUCAGGUCGUGGAAUCAAAGAUCUUUCCAAAGAACAAAGUCUUUUGAUCGCAUUGGAUCUUGAUUCUCCUAAAUGGCAUUCAUUCCGAAAUGGCAGUUGUACAACAUAUCUGCCUGUGGAAUCCCUUCCAUGUGUUUCCACAAAAUGGAUUUCAGCUUCAUUCUCAUCCUUAGAUAUAGAAGUCACAUCAGGAAUGGAUUCCAAUUUCCAAAAUUUUUCGACUAUAUCUUGGGUUUCCAGGCAUGCAUGAUGUGACCGAAUGAUAUUCCUAACACCUCUCCUACUACCCUUAGAGGAAACUCUUCCAGAAAGGAGCCAUCCCAAUUUAGAAGACGUGGCAGUUAGUUGUUCUUCAUCGCUGAUAACGGACUCGCCAGUGAAUAGGGUCAUAGCUAACUCAGCACCAAUUAAUAUGUCGAUGGGAGCAGAAAUAUUAUAAUCUGGAUCAGCCAGAGGCAUGGUUUUGAGAUGCGCCAAGUUUGACCUUGGACAUGUAAGAGUUGGCAAAUUAUUUGUCAACUUAUCUAACACCAAGGCGUUCACCUUGAAAAGUUCAUUGGAAUUGAAAUGUGGCGUAAAUUCAAACUCCACAAGUCCAUAAGAGUGACUCGCAAAAUGUCCCGAAAUUCCCGAUAUCUGUGAGUGUACGGUAACAUAAUGAAGUCCUAGUCUUUUUCUACAUUGUCCUAAUAUAAGUUCGCCUGAGACCCUGAGUCUAUCAAGGCUCUACAUGUCCGAGGCACACCAUUGUUAUCCUUGAUUUUAAUCCUAGCAGUUGUAAGUAUAACAUUUGAAAAAUAUUUCUCAUUACUUAAAAGACAAGUUGUAUUUUUAAUGUCCUUUUCACACUCAACCUUGGGUUCUUGAUGAAUCAAAGUGUGGUGUCUUUUAUUACAAAUUUGACACAUGUUUUUGCUGUAACAGUUCUUUGCCAAAUGGUUCGGCUUCAAACAUUUGUAACACAAUUCAGCCGAACCAACAAAACUUACUCUCUCCGACUCAGGCAAUUUCGAAAACAAAGUACAGCUUGAAAGAACAUGAGCACCUUCACAUUUAAUACAUUUCAUCACAUAUGAACCAUAAGCAUUCACCUUAUGUGAUUCCCUUCUUAUUGAAUGUUUCUCCACAUUUGCAUCUUUAUUUGGCAAAUUCUGCAAGCUUUUUGCGUGAAUUUCUAGAAAUUCCAUUAAAUCCUUAAUUGAAGGCACAACCCUUGGGUUGUUCUGCAAUUCCCACUGUUUUCUUGUGGUUUUAUCAAGCUUAUCUUGUAUGAUCUCGACGAAAAACACAUCAGAUAAACUAUCGAUUUGGUAACCUAAUACCUUCACUGUUCUUACUAUCUCGUUGCAACUAUCUAGAAGUUUAAACAUUGACUUAUGGUUGUCAUCGGCUAACUUUGGUAAUCUUAAUGCAUUAUCUAUUUGGGUGAAAAUCAGAUCCUUUGGAUUAUCAUAUCUUGUUAAUAAGGUUUGCCAAACCUCAACAUAAUUAUCGGCUGUAAUUGGAAAUGCGUUGACCAGUCUUAGGGCUUCGCCUCUCAGUUGGCCUUUUAAAUAUUGUAACUUUUCAAUAUUAGGUAUUUGUGAGUUAGAACCAACCGCAGAAAAAAAUAGAUCCUUAAAUGAAAGCCAUGAUUCUAAUCUACCAUCGAAAGUUGGCAAUUCAAGUUUAGGCAUUUUAACAUGUAAAUUUACUUUUUUUUCAGAUGUUUCUUGCCCAUUAUGCCUCAAAUCCAAUUCACACAUUAAUCUUAUACACUUAUCUAUGCAAUUUUCCACUUCGUCAUUCAAAUCCUCAUCCUCAAGUUGCUGCAAGAAAAUAUCAUUCAUUUUCAUUAAAUCAUUUUUUGCAUAAUCUAGUUUGCAUUUCGUUGAAUUAACAUCUACCAUAGACACUAUAGAUUCGAUAUUUUCUUCAAUGCCUUUUAUACUUUUUUUUAUCCUUUUUAAUUUCUUAAUUAAAGUUUCGACUUCCAUAAUUGCUAUUCUUUUAUCUAUAUCUUUUCCCAAAUAUCUUAGUUGCAAUAUAUGGCUACAAGAAACUUAUGAGUUGCCUUUUUUUAUUUAAAUUUUUACUUAGCUUUUACUUACGUUUUAUCCGGCUCGAGGGACCAAUGUGUUAUCCUUAUGCCUAAUGUAUGAUUUUCUUUUACUUAUAAAACUUAGAUUCUUAAUACAUUAGAUCAAUAAAAUCAUGAGGCAACCAUCUCGAACUUUUUCCUUACUUUAUUUCUCCAAAAACAAUUGUGAACAACAAAAAAGGUGAUGGUGAUAAAUUCAAUGAAUAUUUACAGAAUCACAGAAAAAUUAUAUUAAAAAUUUAACUAUGAUCAUGAAUACCCUAACUAAAUUAAACAGGGGACUUUUGGAGUUAGCUUAGACCUAAGAUGUUCAUUUUCAUUUAUGAAUUUUACUAUUGUGUUUACAUUUUCCAUUGUGGGAACUUCUAUGGUGCAUCCCUUUUUGUUUGGAAUAGCAUUUGCUCUAAUUAUUUUUAGAUUAGACAAAGAAAUAUUUUCUUUAAGGAAGUCGAGUGUUCUGGCUCCUCCAGGGCCGCGGUGUCGCUUCCAGGUGUCUUCUUGCUCCUCGUAGAUGGUGCGCUCUUUUGGGCCAGUUUUUCAACCGUAGAGCAAUCCUGGUGGUGUUUCUGCAGGUCUUUGAAGCUUUGUUGGCAGACCUUGCAGUCAAAAACCACGUUGUUGAUCUUGUGUAGAACACGAAGGUGCUUCACCUGAUCGUUGUGCUGCUUGUAGACACCACUGCAGGUUACUCCCGCCAUCCUGUAACACUCGGGACAUUUAAAGACCUCAGGUAGCUGGAACGUCAUCCUAAACGGAUCACAAAGAGCGGGGGCAAGGUUGUGUACAUGUGUCACAUUUGUGUGAGAACCUGGUAGGCGUGUGGUGUCAGACGGGCUUACCACCAGAGCAUCGUGUUUGUGUUACACAGUGUGCAUCAGCGACCUGGUUGUUAUUACCAGGAGGUAAACAAACCUGGUCACGUGACACAACAAUGUGUGCAGAAACAUGCGCAAUAGGAUGGCUAAACUCAAGGCGAGACUUGGCGAUGUGGAAAUCCCACCAGAAGCACUGUCUCGCGAACAGGGCCCAGCAGAAGUGCCAGGCGACCCAACGGCGCCAAAAAUGUCCGACUUACCUUUAGAGCCGCCUCGAACCAGGUACUCACCCAAAUGUGAAGGUGGUUCCCACGUUGGAGGGUGAGCCGCCCUCUGUAGCCAUUGGGGGUUGCUCGUGGGCGUCUUGGAGUUCCUCUGGGGCUUGGGGAUACACUGGGGCAGGCGGCUGGUCCAUUCUUGGGGUGGUGCAAUACCAGGCCAACCUGCGGCGAGGGUGGAGCAAGUUCCAAGGGGGUCCGGAGGGACCAAAAUCCUGGGGUUAUUCCAUCAAAGGACUAAAGGAUUGAUGAAGCCAUUGGAAGACUUGUUUCGACAGGUGACCUCGUUGACUUUUCCCUGAUCAGACUUUUUAAUUAGGGUUUUCAGGUUUGGAGGGCCUGCCGAAGUCUUGCCAUGAUUUGGCCCCUAGCGACUGCGGGAAGGCUGAUCUCCUUUGGUGUUUUGCCGGCGUUGGGGAGCUUGAAAAAAACAAAGAUACAAAACUCGAAUGGAUUGAUUUCGGACCAUUUGCACUGUCCUUUUGUUUGAAUGUUGAGUUUGUUGGGGUGGUACAGUCUAUUUACUUGCGUUUUUCCGGGUACUGGGGUAUGGAUACGGCAUGGCGGGUGGUGACUCCUCGGUGGGCGUCAGGUUGUUCGGACACGUGCUGGCGGUAAGCCCGUCCAUCUCUCUGCCUGUGGCGGCGGCGUGGGCGUCAUCUCUCCCGCGGGUGGAGCUCCGGUCCUCGUCUCGUCGGGUAGACCUCGCUCCUUGGAGGGCAACCGUCAACUGCCAUAUAAUGGCCGCCAGAGUGCGUCUUGUCGCUUUUCUCUCCGCCAGCUCCUUGUCCUUGCCGUUCGUCGAUUGCUCUCGUCUUUCCGUCAUAAUCCUGUCAACUUACUGUAAUAUACGAGGUGAAUAUUACUCUUGGAAGUUGAUUGAUAAUUGUUGAGGUGUUGGCGCAGUCGUGGUGCUGAGAUGACAGGUGUUCACAACAGGGGAAAGUAGUCGAGAGUACAUAAUUGGUGGUUGAAAUAAAGGCAACUGAAUCGAGGGAGAGAAGGGCUUGAAAGGUUGAGCGGAUUAAUUAUUGACUGUUCAAUUACAUGAUGGAAUAUUUGACUUAUCUGAUAGGUUGAGGCGGUGAGAAUGACUCCAAAGUGCCAGGUGCUAACUCGGUGGUGUCCAGCUAACUACUCUAGGUGCUACCUCGGUGGGAUCCAAGUUCCUUCUGACAAUUCUGUGUUCUCGAUUUAAAACGAAAGCUCUUCUUCCUUCUCAUUGGUUGACCUGCGUGACGUGGAAGUCUGCUAUAGGCUCGAAGCUAAAUGAGCUGCUCUGUGAUUGGUCCGUUUUAACUCUUUGUAUUUGGACGUGUUCUGACCUGACCAGGAAGUGCUAAGUUGUUGAACUCUAACUUUUACGAGUUCCGGGAUAAUAAAAACCUGUUAAUGAUCAUUCUUUCUCUAGGCCUUCUCUNNNNNNNNNNNNNNNNNNNNNNNNNNNNNNNNNNNNNNNNNNNNNNNNNNNNNNNNNNNNNNNNNNNNNNNNNNNNNNNNNNNNNNNNNNNNNNNNNNNNCUCCAAUUUGGUUAAGCCUUGUUCUUUAUUAAAACUUGAAACAUACAUUACAUAUUGGGUCGGGUUUGCAUCUAGCUAUGUACAAAUUAUGACAUAUAUGUAGUAAUCCCGAGGUGGAAUGUACUGGGCAGUCUUGGUAGUGGGUGCGUGAUGGGAUUCCCGCACUGGGACAGCAAGAGACAGAGGCAGGUCUAGAUGGUAACUCCAAGAAGGUAGAGGCAGACCACGGACGAAGGUAGUCGGACCUUGGACGUCACGGAUGCCCUAAGUCUACAUCGCGGAUUGGGGUGAGAAGUCUGACUGACCGUAUAACAGCGUCGCUCUGAAACAACUGAAACACAACUCUACUCUCUUUUGUCCCAUUUCUGGGCUCCUUAUAUACUCAGACUCUGGCAUGUGGUGGCGCGUUUUGAUUGGCCCCCAGAAAACACGCCACCUGUCAAGCGUUGAUUAAUUAUUACGUCUGGCCACCUGUUGACGGGGUAAUCGAACUCAUUAUCAUAAACACGUGUUCGUCUGGUCUUUGUCGUCUGGACUACCUCUACUCCUUUUGUUUUAUUUGUCACUUCUAUUAUUCGAUACAUAUUUUUAUAUACAGAUAUGGGGUUAUAAUAAGUAUUAGAAUAAGGCUGUGAACUAUAUUACUCAAAAUAUACUACAUAUAUUUAUAUAUAUAUAUAAAAAUAAAUAGUUGUUUAGUUUUAUAGUUUAGUUUUGUAUUAAAAUUAUCUUUAUUACUUUGAUUAUUUAAAUUCAAAUUAUAAAAUUUGUAAAUUGUUAUUAUUUAAUAGAGAGAGAAAAAAAAAAUUCUUUACUUCUUACGCAUCAUCCAUAUAUAUUUAUAAUUAAUAACAAUAAAAUUUAACAACGUAACGUCUUUUGCAAUCGGCUGUUACCCGUCAUUUAGACAUACUCUAAUUUAUAUAUAGAAUAAUAGAAGUGAUGAUAGAAGAGAUAGAAGAUGGGGCUGGGACCUGUUCCGCCAUACCUAUUGUAGCUUUAGACUUCUCACUGUUUCGUGUUCCCUUUUUCUUACCUAUUUUGAGUUUUUGAAGAAAGAGUUUGUUUUCACACGCAUAUUUAAUAUAAAAAAAAAAAAAAAAACAGAAAGAGCAAAAGACAAUUUCAUGCCUGAUGUCUUUAUUGGGUGAUGGGUUCUGGGUCUUUUUCUCAGUUGAAGGUUGAGGCUGUUGGUGGUGGUUAUUGUGAUGGGGUUCACAGGCUCAUCUAUUGUCUGGUCAUCUCCGGGCUAUCUGUCGAGCCUCACAGGUCUGUCUCCAUCACUGAGGGGCUCUUGGCAUCUCACUGAGGGACUCUUUUCAUCGGGGUGUAGCAGGUCACAUGGGGUGUGUAGACCAUAGGAAGGGCAGGGAGGUCUAUAGGCCUUUUUUUUUAAAACAAUUUUUCCAGCCCCUUUCNNNNNNNNNNNNNNNNNNNNNNNNNNNNNNNNNNNNNNNNNNNNNNNNNNNNNNNNNNNNNNNNNNNNNNNNNNNNNNNNNNNNNNNNNNNNNNNNNNNNUUAUGAUCUUCUUUAGUAUAGGUAGUAUUUUUUCUUGUGUCAAUAUAUUUAACUUGAAAUAAUGAAAAUUUCCUUAGCCAUUUUAAAUUUUGCCCAAAAGUUUCAAGAUUGAGAUGUUUUUUGAUGAAGUCAUUAAACAAAAAGGUUUUCUUCUGUUUCUUGGUUGUGUACAUGUGUCACAUUUGUGUGAGAACCUGGUAGGCGUGUGGUGUCAGAUGGGCUUACCACCAGAGCAUCGUGUUUGUGUCACGUGUUACACAGUGUGCAUCAGCGACCUGGUUGUUAUUACCAGGAGGUAAACAAACCUGGUCACGUGACAACGUGUGCAGAAACAUGCGCAAUAGGAUGUCCAAACUCGUCGAGACGAGUGGCAGAACAAGGACGCAUGUCACGUGACCAAACAGACAUGGGUGCAAUAACCUGGUCGAUCGCCGGGCCGCGUGGCUCGCCGCUGGUCCCCGAGUCAUGUGACCGCGCAGGCGUGAUUUCCGCUGUGUCAAGUACGAGACUUGGCAACGUGGAAAUCCCACCAGAAGCACUGUCCCGCGAACAGGGCCCAGCAGAAGUGCCAGGCCAAGAAAUUGGUGAAAUAAUUGCCUGCAUUUAAAAAUAUAUAAUAAAUAAUCAAAAUUGAUUUCUCCUCUUUAAUUUCUUUUAUUUUAUGCAGGGCUUUUCUGAACCGGGCUUUGCUUGAUUUGAAAUAAGUUGUGGACUUACCAACUUUAUGUCCUUUUACCCGGUCCCAGCUCAUAAAAACUUUAUGAUCUUCUUUAGUAUAGGUAGUAUUUUUUCUUGUGUCAAUAUAUUUAACUUGAAAUAAUGAAAAUUUCCUUAGCCAUUUUAAAUUUUGCCCAAAAGUUUCAAGAUUGAGAUGUUUUUUGAUGAAGUCAUUAAACAAAAAGGUUUUCUUCUGUUUCUUGGUUGUGUACAUGUGUCACAUUUGUGUGAGAACCUGGUAGGCGUGUGGUGUCAGAUGGGCUUACCACCAGAGCAUCGUGUUUGUGUCACGUGUUACACAGUGUGCAUCAGCGACCUGGUUGUUAUUACCAGGAGGUAAACAAACCUGGUCACGUGACAACGUGUGCAGAAACAUGCGCAAUAGGAUGUCCAAACUCGUCGA
rnacentral:piRNA from 1 species